AUGAACGCUGGCGGCGUGCCUAACCCAUGUAAGUCGAGCGAUCUUGUUAGCGAUAAUGAGAGAGCGGCGGAAGGGUGAGUAACACGUAGGAGACCUACCUCAUCGCAGGGAACAACUUCGCGAAAGCGGAGCUAAUACCCAAAAGGCUCACAGAUUCAUUUUUGUGAGGAGAGUACGCAAGUGCGUGAUGAGAGGGUCCUGCGGCCCAUCAGCUCGUUGGCAGGGUAACGGCCUACCAAGGCAACGACGGGUAGGGGGUCUGAGAGGACGAUCCCCCACACUGGAACUGAAACACGGUCCAGACGCCUACGGGUGGCAGCAGGGAGGAAUAUUGGGCAAUGGACGAAAGUCUGACCCAGCAACGCCGCGUGAAGGAAGAAGGCCUUCGGGUCGUAAACUUCUUUUAGGGGAGACGAGCAAGGACGGUAUCCCCUGAAUAAGCCACGGCUAACUACGU
rnacentral:rRNA from 1 species